GAUCCUUGGGCCCCUUCAGAGGACUUAACCGGGACGAAAAAUUAAACAAAUAUUGAAAAACCAUAGAAAGAAAAUAAAUGGCCGUGUCUUCUGAAGCUUAUUGAUUUUUAAGAUCUUCUCAGGCAUGAAAACAAGACUCAUUGCUGCUAUCUUGGCAUUGGAUUCCUGUUACCUGGAAGAGUGGUUUAUUGACCAGUGUGGAGCCCAGAGUGCAGGAGGGAGUCUGUCUGCCCCUCCAGGAAGAACAUUCUUAGAGGACACAACAGAUUGGAGAAUCAUUUAGCAAAUGUUUACUUGCUUCCAUCUAUCUUGGGGCAGAGCAUACCUUGACCAUUAUCUUACUUUGCCAAUGGAAGGUGAGUGGAUAUGACUCUAGCAGGGGCUAUAAAUAAUGCCUAUGUGGAUUGGCUUGGCCUUACAUUCCUGUAAUGGCCAUGAAAGGGAACAAUUUGGGUAAUCCCUGCUCUUUCCCCCAGGCCCCAGGACUAGUCAUGUGGAACAGAUCCAAGCCCAAAGUGAAGCCAGAGCUGCCUCCUAGCCCACCCACAGACCUGUAAUCAAGAAAAAAAAUGCUUAUUUUCUCUCUCUCUUUUUUUUUUGGUACUGGGGAUCGAAGGUCCUUGCGCUUUCAAGGCAGGCGACAGAACCACUGAGCUAAAUCCCCGGCCCUGCUUACUUUU
rnacentral:lncRNA from 1 species